GCUGUGGCAUUUUUAUCCUCCUAGGAGCAAAGGGAACAUCAGCUCCCUUUGCCUUCAUUGUACUGAAACAGACUGCAUUUUACGUUUUAGAGAAGAGGUGCAAGCUGCAACAAUAAGACUGAAAGCAACGGAGCUGAGAAUAAAAGGCAAGUACCUCUCAGGAGAAAAGGCAGAGGGAAUACACUGAAAACUUCUGCUUGGCUGAUCUGAUGCUCCUCUCCCCAGCAGUACCCUUUCUAAUCACAGCACACUGUGCAUGCUCGCACUGCUUUCCUCACCAACAAUUUCAUUCGGGCUGUCAAAUUAGCCAGGAGAGCAGAGUGGGUAAAUGAACAGCAACCAGAUUGCUUGGGAACUGUGAAACAGAAGAUUUCAUCUGCAGAACAGAAGGCAUCUCUGACGCUUGCAAGGGCAUUGUGGAUCACAGCAGCUGGUGGGACAUUCUCUUCAGGAAGUGCAAGGGGAGUUGAACACAGGGAAGGAUCUUCAUCCUGUAUUGAUGUCUGCCGUACUGUUUACCAUACACAAAUCUGUAAAUCCUCAAUAAUUUUUCAAGAGAUACUGUCCUUUAUCAUAGAAGACAUAAAAGACAUCCAUUUUUCAUGUUAUCAAAAGCACAAAAACAUCAUUCAAAAUGGAUCAAGAGACACCUAUUUGUGAAAUUAAUGUUAGCAUGUCAUUCAAAUUUUUGUUUUGUUUAGGUGAUUAAUUUUCUGUUACACAGUAUGCAGGUAUGACAAACAAUGGGUUCUCUCUCUUGCAAUGUUAUUUUCUGUUAAUGAUGUUUUCUAAGAGGUCAGUGGGUUGGCACAUAUGACAUGUAAAUGUGCUUCCAAGAUAGACAGAGGCAGAGACUUCCUGAACAGAAACUCUUUGGCCGUUUCAAUUUCAUGGAACAUGAUACUCCAAAAAUUGAUCCUUGAACCUGACUAAGAGCUAAAGAAAAAAAAAAAAAGGGCCGAGUUUAACUUUUUAGGCAUCUCAAAGGCCAUGGAAGUGAGUCUCGAGACUUGAUGUGAGCUUGAAGAGGCUCUAGCUAUGUAGUGACCUUGUUGACAAACAAGCAAGGUAAAAGUUGCAAGGUGCAAGAUUGGCAUUUUGUUAUGAUGACUUUUAUUUCAUAUAGUAUAAAACAGUUCAGGUAAAUAUUCUUAUAAAUAGCAGCAUAAUUGUGAGAGAAAUACUUCUUGUAAGUCCACACACAAACAAAGAAUAGCAGUCUUAUAGAAGUUAAAAAGAAGCUAUUUGGCAGCAUUUUCAGAACAGCUGGUUUUGGAAGAAUUUAACUACAAAUGCAGUACACAGGGAUGAAUUUAAUUGGAUGACUUAGGGACUCUUAAACAUCACCUACUACCUUCCCCUCUCCACUGGUACUGCUUUCAUGCAUGAGCUUGCUCUGGACAGGGCGCAUUGGCAGCCUUUCUCCCUUUCAGUGGCUCUCAGUGCAUAUAAUAAAUGGACUCUGGCCUGUUGAAGCAAAUGGAAAAACCUCUCAUUUCAAGGUGAUUUUGCAGUGGAAUUCUCCUUGAAGAGGCUCACAAAUGAAUGGUGUCUGUGGUUGCCUUUCUGCUCUGAUCAGCCUGUUGAACCAAAUUCCAACAAUGUGCAAACACACAACCUUGGAAGUCUCCAUAUGCAAGCUCUACAAGGAUAUGCAAUCCUGUGUGCUCCACAGACUUCGCCUACAGAUUUUAAGCAGAAUUGAUUCAGAUCUAAGUUGAAGGCUCUUCCUGUGCCUAUUAAUCACCUUUCCUCAUGCAGCGUUUUUGCAGCUGCCACUACAUACGCUCCUUGGGCACUGGUCCACUGUUUCGCACCUCCCAAAGUCAUGCCAUAAUCACUAGCACUGAUUUUUCAUCCUGGGUGGUAGGACAAAUCUUCUAGGGUAGCUAUAAAUGAUAACUAACUUACAUAAUUAUCCUGACACUUCACUGCACUCUCAGUCAGUUGAUUAGUGGUUUAAUUUAUAAUACUUUAGUAAUAUUCAGAUCAAUCAGCUUUCUGCCCGAGAUAUUUUAUUUAUAUCUUGUCUUAGAAAAUAAAAUCAGAAGGACCCACUGUGAUCAUCUAUUUUGAUCCUUCAAGAAGGGUCAGGGUUAAGACCUGAGCCCAAAAAGAACUAUGUAUUGUUCUGUACAGACCUGUCCUGUGUUUGCCGAGAUGGUUACAUUAACUGCAAGCCUUGGGAAGCUGCUCCAGUGUUACACAGGAGAGUGGCUAAGACCAGAUAAUUUUGUGUGAAAAAAAUCCUUUUGAAUUUGUAAUUACUAUGUAAUUUGAAACUUCUUUAAAAAUAAGAUAAAAGGGAAGCAUUCACAUGCAUGGGGAGUAGCGUAUAAAGAAUGCAGGUUUCCUUUUAUAUCCCUAUUACUCUGUUUGAUCCUCUUCAGUUUCUGUAAUUGCCUCCAUGCGAUUAUCUCCAGCACAAUACAUUUUGAAGUCAGUGCAGAGUAAAAUUGUAUUGUAAUACAUGGCUGCUUUGUCUCCAGUAGAUCUUUAAUAAAUUUGUGGUCAGCAGCA